rnacentral:rRNA from 1 species
UACGUAGGGUGCAAGCGUUAAUCGGAAUUACUGGGCGUAAAGCGUGCGCAGGCGGCUUUGCAAGACAGAUGUGAAAUCCCCGGGCUUAACUCGGAAAGGUCAACUGAUACUGUGCGACUAGAGUGCAGAAGGGGCAACUGGAAUUCUCGGUGUAGCGGUGAAAUGCGUAGAUAUCGAGAGGAACACCUGCGGCGAAGGCGGGUUGCUGGGCUGACACUGACGCUGAGGCGCGAAAGCCAGGGGAGCGAACGGG